rnacentral:misc_RNA from 1 species
AAAACCCCCUCACAGAUAAUGUGGUAUUGGUAGAAGUGAACGGUACUUACAUUACCUUGUCUCACUCUGCUGAAAUGAAUAGGCCAGAGAAGUGGACCCAUGGUAAUUGACUCCAGGAGUGUUUUUCAAUGCUAAACUAGUCUUUACCCAAGUCAAGUUCUGAGCUACCGGACCCCCAUUAAGUCCAAAACAGAGU